GGGACGAACGCUGGCGGCGUGCAUAACACAUGCAAGUCAAGGGGACCCGCAAGGGUAACCGGCGAACGGGUGCGUAACACGUGAGCAACCUACCUCUGUGUGGGGCAUAGCCGGCCUAACGGCCGGGUAAUUCCGCAUACGAUCCUUGGAGGACAUCCUCUGGGGAGGAAACGCGCAAGCGGCACGGAGAGGGGCUCGCGGCCUAUCAGCUAGUUGGUGAGGGCAAUGGCCCACCAAGGCGACGACGGGUAGC
rnacentral:rRNA from 1 species